rnacentral:rRNA from 1 species
AUUGAACGCUGGCGGCAGGCCUAACACAUGCACGUCGAACGAGUGGCGGACGGGUGAGUACUGUCUGGGAAACUGCCUGAUGGAGGGGGAUAACUACUGGAAACGGUAGCUAAUACCGCAUACCAUCAGAUGUGCCCAGAUGGGAUUAGCUUGUUGGUGGGGUAACGGCUCACCAAGGAGACGAUCCCUAGCUGGUCUGAGAGGAUGACCAGUCACAGUGGAACUGAGACACGGGCCAGACUCCUACGUGAGGAAGCAGUGGGGAAUAGUGCACAAUGGGCGCAAGCCUGAUGCAGCCAUGCCGCGUGUAUGAAGAAGGCCUUCGGGUUGUAAAGUACUUUCAGCGGGGAGGCGUGACCCGCAGAAGAAGCACCGGCUAACUCCGUGCCAGCAGCCGCGGUAAUUC